rnacentral:rRNA from 1 species
AAAAACAUGUCUACAUGGGUAUAAUAUUAAAUGUAGUCCAGCCUGCCCACUGAAUAUAAAUUUUAAAGGGCCGCGGUACACUGACCGUGCUAAGGUAGCAUAAUCAAUAGUCUUUUAAUUGGAGACUGGAAUGAACGGCUAGAUAAAAAGUUUACUGUCUAUAUAAUAAAUCUUGAAUUUUACUUUUAAGUGAAAAGGCUUAAAUAUAUUAAAGUGACGAUAAGACCCUAUAAAACUUUAUAAUAAAUUAUGAUUAUCUUAAAUUUUAAAUCAAAAUAUAUUUCAUAUAUUACUAUUUAGUUGGGGCGACUGAGAUAUAAAAAAUCUGUCUUUAGUAAAAAAUACUUAUAAUUAGAUCAAGAUCCUUUAUUAAGGAUUAAAAGGCUAAGUUACUUUAGGGAUAACAGCGUGAUUUUUCUUAAGAGUUCUUAUCGACAGAAUAAGUUGCGAC